rnacentral:rRNA from 1 species
AUUGAACGCUGGCGGCAGGUCUAACACAUGCAAGUCGAACGAGUGGCGGACGGGUGUGUAAUGUCUGGGAACCUGCCUGAUGGAGGGGGAUAACUACUGGAAACGGUAGCUAAUACCGCAUACCAUCGGAUGUGCCCAGCUGGGAUUAGCUAGUAGGUGGGGUAAAGGCUCACCUAGGCGACGAUCCCUAGCUGGUCUGAGAGGAUGGCCGGCCACACUGGAACUGAGACACGGUCCAGACUCCUACGGGAGGCAGCAGUGGUGAAUAUUUCACAAUGGGGGCCAGCCUGAUGCAGCCAUGCCGCGUUUAUGAAGAAGGCCUUCGGGUGGGAAAGAACUUUCAGCGGGGAGGCGUUACCCGCAGAAGAAGCACCGGCUAACUCCGUGCCAGCAGCCGCGGUAAUUC